ACUAUAUCAAUUUAAUCAUAAUAUUCUUGUUGAUACUUCUCUCCAAAAUCGACCCUUUAAAAGAAGUUCACUUGUUGAUUGAUUCACUCUCUCCACCUUUCCUUGAGAUAGCCUCUUUCCCUCCCUCAAAAAGUUCAUUGGCUUGCAUCAUGAAAUUCAAAUAUAUGAUACAAUAUCUACUAGCAUUGGAAUUUUUAUUGUUACUCACUUUAAAUCCACUCCAUUUCAUGGCCCGAGGAAGACAGAUAUCGAAACAGUCCGAUUUCACAAUCAGAAUUAAUGAAGAAAAGGUGAUGAAAAUGGGAGUGAUAGGAUCAAAGCCUCCAAG